GCAGCCCCAGCAGAGGAAGGCUUUUCUAGGCCUGUUUUACACAAAAUGCUUAAAGGGAUUGUUGGAACAGCUUCAGACCUGCUGGGGUGGCCAGGGAGGGUUGGAAGAGCUGAGCACAAUUGAGGAAAGGCACAGGAGUGACUCUGCAGACCAGAGUGGGUUUACCUGCACGGAGUUAAGAAGAAAACUUUGCAGCUGGGUGGAAAAUGAAACAAGCCCCAGGUUGUACAGCAAAUUCAAUGAAAAACACAGGAACGCUCUGUCUCCAGAGCAAAGGCUGGAAAGAGAAAUGAGACUCAUGAAGGCAUGAAGGGCUCUCUGCUCUGCAUUUUACUGCAUCCCACCACAUUUCAAGUGCUGAAACAGAUUCGUGAUCACAAUUGCUUCAAUACUUUUCUACCUACUCUACAGAAUUAUGGCAUUCCUUGUUUCUACACCUCAGGUCCUGUUCUUUGUAGUCUUUCCUCCAACCAAAGGUCUUUCCAAAGCCAUCACUGUUUCUGCCUCCGUGACUCCAGUCUCUCUCAAAAACAGAUUGUACCUACUCUUGUUUCAUCUCUGUCUUUGAUAUCUGUAUUAAUAACUCAGCAGUAAAUCCAUUUCUAGCCAUAAA